CGGUAGCUAAAUGCGGAAGAGAUAAGUGCUGAAAGCAUCUAAGCACGAAACUUGCCCCGAGAUGAGUUCUCCCUGAGACUUUAAGUCUCCUGAAGGAACGUUGAAGACGACGACGUUGAUAGGCCGGGUGUGUAAGCGCAGCGAUGCGUUGAGCUAACCGGUACUAAUGAACCGUGAGGCUUAACCUUACAACGCCGAAG
rnacentral:rRNA from 2 species